CCCGGACACAAGCAGCGGAGCAUGUGGUUUAAUUCGAAGCAACGCGAAGAACCUUACCAGGGCUUGACAUGCCGCUGACCGGUGCAGAGAUGCAUCUUUAUCCUUCGGGGUACAGCGGACACAGGUGCUGCAUGGCUGUCGUCAGCUCGUGUCGUGAGAUGUUGGGUUAAGUCCCGCAACGAGCGCAACCCUUGUCAUUAAUUGCCAUCAUUCAGUUGGGCACUUUAAUGAGACUGCCGGUGACAAACCGGAGGAAGGUGGGGAUGACGUCAAGUCCUCAUGGCCCUUAUGGGUAGGGCUUCACACGUAAUACAAUGGUCGGUACAGAGGGUUGCCAACCCGCGAGGGGGAGCCAAUCCCAGAAAACCGAUCGUAGUCCGGAUUGCAGUCUGCAACUCGACUGCAUGAAGUCGGAAUCGCUAGUAAUCGCGGAUCAGCAUGUCGCGGUGAAUACGUUCCCGGGCCUU
rnacentral:rRNA from 1 species